GAUGAACGCUGGCGGCGUGCCUAAUACAUGCAAGUCGAGCGAACAGACGAGGAGCUUGCUCCUCUGACGUUAGCGGCGGACGGGUGAGUAACACGUGGAUAACCUACCUAUAAGACUUGGAUAACUUCGGGAAACCGGAGCUAAUACCGGAUAAUAUAUUGAACCGCAUGGUUCAAUAGUGAAAGACGGUUUUGCUGUCACUUAUAGAUGGAUCCGCGCCGCAUUAGCUAGUUGGUAAGGUAACGGCUUACCAAGGCAACGAUGCGUAGCCGACCUGAGAGGGUGAUCGGCCACACUGGAACUGAGACACGGUCCAGACUCCUACGGGAGGCAGCAGUAGGGAAUCUUCCGCAAUGGGCGAAAGCCUGACGGAGCAACGCCGCGUGAAUGAUGAAGGUCUUCGGAUCGUAAAACUCUGUUAUUAGGGAAGAACAAAUGUGUAAGUAACUAUGCACGUCUUGACGGUACCUAAUCAGAAAGCCACGGCUAACUACGUG
rnacentral:rRNA from 1 species